rnacentral:rRNA from 1 species
CAGUCGCCGCGGUAAUACGAAGGGGGCUAGCGUUGCUCGGAAUCACUGGGCGUAAAGGGUGCGUAGGUGGGUCUUUAAGUCAGGGGUGAAAUCCUGGAGCUCAACUCCAGAACUGCCUUUGAUACUGAAGAUCUUGAGUUCGGGAGAGGUGAGUGGAACUGCGAGUGUAGAGGUGAAAUUCGUAGAUAUUCGCAAGAACACCAGUGGCGAAGGCGGCUCACUGGCCCGAUACUGACGCUGAGGCACGAAAGCGUGGGGAGCAAACAGGAUUAGAUACCCCUGUAGUCCCUGUCUCUUAUAC